rnacentral:rRNA from 1 species
GAUGAACGCUGGCGGCGUGCCUAAUACAUGCAAGUCGAGCGGACGGACGAGAAUCUUUCUUCUCUGCUGUUAGCGGCGGACGGGUGAGUCCCACGUGGAUACCCUACCUAUAAGACUGGGAUAACUUCGGGAAACCGGAGCUCACACCGGAUGAUAUUUUGAACCGCGUGGUUCAUAAGUGCUCGCCGUUCCUGCUGUCACUUAUAGAUGGAUCCUCGCUGCAUUAGCUAGUUGGUAAGGUAACGGCUUACCAAGGCAACGAUGCAUAGCCGACCUGAGAGGGUGAUCGGCCACACUGGAACUGAGACACGGUCCAGACUCCUACGGGAGGCAGCAGUAGGGAAUCUUCCGCAAUGGGCGAAAGCCUGACGGAGCAACGCCGCGUGAGUGAUGAAGGUCUUCGGAUCGUAAAACUCUGUUAUUAGGGAAGAACAUAUGUGUAAGUAACUGUGCACAUCUUGACGGUACCUAAUCAGAAAGCCACGGCUAACUACGUG